CAUCUUUGUGCCGGGCAGCGCUCCCGCCUCGCCGCCAUCUUUGAGCGGGGCGCUCCCGGCCGCCUGCCAUUCAUCGGGCGGGAGGAAAGCCGCGCGAGCAGUUUGAAUGAACGCUUGUAGGAGCGACCGAACAAAGGCACCCCGGGCAGGAGGUGGCCCGGGCCAUUGGCAGCGCUGGGAGCAGAGCUGAGCACAGAAAGUGCACCUCAACACCGUGCAGUGGUAAAAGAUAACAGUGGAGAAGCCAGCACAGCCGAGCUCUGGUGCAGUCAGUGUCCAUCAGGGCCCUCCUGAUCCCGAGUGUGGAAUUACUGCCUUGCUGCACUGCGGGGCUGUUCUGAAAAUGCACUCUGAAACAGAAGAGACAACAAGAAAGGAAGUGAAAGCCGUUCACAUAUCUGCUUUACCUACAUUACUUCUUGGAUGAAUGAAAAGCAAAGCAACACUGACAAAAAAUAGCAAUAUUAAACUGCUCUUCUUUAACAGCCCCCUCCAUUAAUACUGAUAUUUUGUCCAGCAGCUUUCCCAGGGUUGUACAGCUUUGCGAAGUAGAUGUGAUGGGAAACAGCCUCACCUGCUGGUUUGAGGAGACACAGCCAGGUGCCCACACAGCUCAGUACUCCUCCCCUCACAUCUCCAGCACCCCAAAGGAAAAUCACCUUUCUUCUUUGCUGCUGCACUGUAUAAUAUAGCAGCAGCAAAAGUGUUUGAUAGAGAUCUUUGCUGCUGUUCUGUUAAAUUCAUUUUCAAAAGCGGAAACAAGAAAUAAAAACAGAAGACUGUGCUGUCUUAUCUCAUUAAAGGUAGGACUUUUUAUUAAGAAGUGCUGUUUUAUCUGUGUCCUGAAACAAUCACAGAAGAGUGACAAACAAAGCUGAUGUCAGGUCACCACGAAACUACACACGUUUCUUUUGCUGCUUUUUCUGUCUCAGUUAAAUCAAGCUGUAAACUCCUGAUAGGGCAUGUAUGUAAGCCCAACACAUCUCCUCCUACAGACUGUCCAUCUUCUGCCUUUGCAAGAAGCUGCUGCCCACCCUUAUCACUGGUACAUGCCCAUGCACAGGUGUGCUCACUUCCCAGGGCCGCAGGAUGCUAUGCAGGAGCACAUUCCUUCAGCGUGCUGGUCCAAAGUUAGUAGAAUUUCCAAAUGAAUCAUUUCAUUUUGCUGGUUAAGACUCUAAUGACUGUCAUUAGUUCACGAUCUUGAUUGAGAAAACGUUUACAAAACAGGGGUCACAAUGUUAUUUACAUCCCCCCUCGGCUUCAUAACUGCACACUUCCUUUAAAUAGGACCGAUCUGACUUUCAGAGGACUGAUGGCUUCCAGUUCCCAUGAGAAACAGAAGGCUCUGCACUCACUUCAUGCUUCCAAACGUCAGGCCAUGGUAUUUCAAUGGCCGUGCUCAGAUCGGGGAGCUCAGAUUAAAAGAUGUGCAGGAAGGGGCUAAAAGUAGAUGGAAGCAAACUGAAAACUUCAAUAGAAAUGAGCAAGCAGAUGGCAGUUAUAAAGAUGCACGUAAAGAGUCGUACUCCUUCCAAUUCCUGACCGCUUCCCAGGGGCUCUGCUGAGCUUUGAGAAGUCAGUUGAUUUCAUUCCCCCAUCCAUUUUGCCCAUUUGGCUCUUCCUGUGGAAUAUCCUUUGCCAGAUUGACACCAUCAGUCUGCAGGCCAAGUCAUUCUGCUUAUCCAUUAUUGUUUCUAGAAACAAGGGACCAUUGAACACAGUGACAAAGAGCUAUUAGAAAGAAAAGAAAAAAAAGAAAAAAAAAAGGAAAAAUAAACCAACAAACAAACCCAACAUCCAUAUAGGCUUAUCAGGAAUUGUAUCAACCUCACAAUGGAUUUUAGAAAUGAGUCUUUGAUUCAUAAUCAAAGAUGCCUUAUCUGACACCCAGUGAGAUGUAACAGUUUUCCUUUCUGCUGGAGUACUCCACUUGCUAUAUUGGUUUGGACAAGGACAGUGCAGUGUGGGUUUUUCUUAUCUUCCCUGUAUGUAUAUAUAUGAAUCUGCAUACACGUUGUAACAAUGCAAAUAAAUUACAGUAAACUAUGUACAUGGCAAAGUGAUAGUUUGCUCUGAAUAAGAAUGAAGAGUUCUGUGACAUCUUCCACCCUUCCCUCGGUCACUGCUGCCCUGUGUCAUUCCACCAAGCUUUUUCUUCUCAAUUCAGUAUGGAACAGUCCAAUAAAAUGCAGAAAUCAAAACCAGAGAUGAAACUGA